GUAAAGCGAGCGCAGGCGGUUUGAUAAGUCUGAAGUUAAAGGCUGUGGCUCAACCAUAGUUCGCUUUGGAAACUGUCAAACUUGAGUGCAGAAGGGGAGAGUGGAAUUCCAUGUGUAGCGGUGAAAUGCGUAGAUAUAUGGAGGAACACCGGUGGCGAAAGCGGCUCUCUGGCCAUUAUCUGACGCUGAGGUACGAAAGCGUGGGUAGCAAACAGGAUUAGAUACCCUGGUAGUCAAGGGCGAAUUCGC
rnacentral:rRNA from 1 species